UCUAGAACUCGAGAUAUUGGUUGAAUACUAAACAAUGUCUAGGCUGGAGGACAGAUUCUGACUUCUCUUUUGUUGCUACAAUUUGAACUUGAAAACGACCCUUUUGAAUUUUGGACUCUUCAUGAAAGUUUUAGGCCUAUGUCUUAGCUAUAUAUC
rnacentral:pre_miRNA from 1 species